AACGAACGCUGGCGGCAGGCUUAACACAUGCAAGUCGAACGCUCGUAGCAAUACGGGAGUGGCGGACGGGUGAGUAACGCGUGGGAACGUGCCCUGAGGUACGGAAUAACUGCGGGAAACUGCAGCUAAUACCGUAUGAGCCCCGCAAAGGGGGGAAAAGAUUUAUCGCCUUGGGAGCGGCCCGCGUCGGAUUAGCUAGUUGGUGGGGUAACGGCCUACCAAGGCUUCGAUCCGUAGCUGGUCUGAGAGGACGAUCAGCCACACUGGGACUGAGACACGGCCCAGACUCCUACGGGAGGCAGCAGUGGGGAAUCUUGCGCAAUGGGGGCAACCCUGACGCAGCCAUGCCGCGUGAAUGAUGAAGGCCUUAGGGUUGUAAAGUUCUUUUGCCCGUGACGAUGAUGACGGUAAC
rnacentral:rRNA from 1 species